ensembl:lncRNA
GAACCUAAAGGAUGAAGUAAUAAAAAAUGUAAAUGAACACAAGCAAAGUAUUGUAGAGGAUAUAUAUGCUCAAAUAAAAAAAGAAGAAAAAGUAAGCAAUGUAUAAAACAAAACAUGUAUAUACUAUCUUUAAUAUAUAUAUAUAUAUAUAUAUAUAUAUAUAUAUAUAUAUAUAUUUAUUUAUUCACAAUUUUGAAAUUUUUUGAUGUAAUCGUCCUGAUGCUCACAUGUGUUACUAAGCUAAUAUGUAUACAAGCAUAUAUACCUACUUAUAUAUACUUAUUUCUUUUUUAGCCAUUUUUAGAAGAUUUAAAAAAAUAUAUAAUUGAUAUAAAGAGUAAUGAUAACGAUAAAAAUAAAGAUGCUAUGUUACAGUCAUAUAAUAAUACAGAAAAAUUAAUACAAUCUGAAUUUGUUUACCAAUCCGAAUUUCAAAAUAAUAUUGCUGAUGUUACAGCUUUAGCAAUCAAAGAAAAUGAGACAUACCAAAAAAAAAAUACAAAAAUAUUUUUUUUUAUUAAAAUGUAAAGAUGAAAAAAUUAAGACGGGUAACUUUUUUUUUUUUAUAACAUUCCUUUUUUUUUACCUUUACCACACUUUUUGUUCGUAUAUUUACUUUUGUCUAAAUUUUAAUUUCUACUUUUUUUUUUUUUUUUUUUUUUUUUUUUUUUUUUUUUUUUUUUUUUUUAAGCAUGUGAAAUAAACUCAAAAAAUGUUAUAUCGUUUAUUACGUUCAUAAGAAAUCAAAUGGAUGGAUACAAACUAUACUUACAAGACGUUUUAAAUAAAAUUAGAAAUGAUCUGAAUUUAAGGAGAAAGUGCUUAUUAAGCAACAACAGACAGAUUGUUGAUGAUUUCAUGAGGAUGCGAAAUAUGAAUGCAAGCUAUUUCCUUGACGAAAUACAGUACCAAAAAAGAUUAGAUGAAAAAAUAAAAGAUACAUAUGAGCAAAUUCAUUUGAACUUGAAGAAGAAAAAUGAAAUGCUUGAAGCUAACUUAAAUAUGAACAUGCAACAUUUACAAGAAAUAAAUCAGAUAAUAAUGAAAAAAGAAAAAAAAACAUAUGAUAUAAAAUUACUACAACAAAAAAAUGAUAAUAACUUAAAAAUGAUAAAUUUUUAUAAACUCGAAAUAAAUAAAUUAAGAGAAGCUCUAUUAUCAGUGAAAACUUAUUAUUACAACUAUAGAAUUAAAUCAAAAAAAAACAUUAACGAAUUAAUGAUUCAAUAUGAGAGAAUAAAAUUUCAAUUUAUUGAAUUACAAAAGAGACAAAAAAGUUAUGAACAAAAUUUUCAAAAAAAAUACACAAAUGCUUGGAACUUGCAAAAAAACGAGGCCAACAAGCACAUUGAAAAAUUAAUAAAUGCAAAUAAAAUAAUUCACGAACAAAUCCUUUUAAAAGAAUUUCAUCAAACUAAUUAUAAACAAUUGAUAGAAGAUAACAGCAGUUUAAUUUCAACAACCGUUAAAGAUCAUGAAAUCCCUCAAACAGAGUUAAAUACAAAACGUGUUAAUAUACAACAUAUUGAAAAUGUUAAGAAGCUACUUCUGCAAGAAUGCAAUUUCCUAGUCGAAGACGAUAUCGAUGACGAACAACAAAAAAUAAAAAAACUAUUAAAAUACAUAGGUGUGUAUACACAAGAAGAUUUAGAACUACUAACACAAUUGUUUUAUUUAGAUUAUGAGCACGAAAAUGACAGUAACAAUAAUAACAACAAAGAGAGUGACCAUAAUGCGAUAAAAUAUAAUUCAGAAUAUACAUUAGAUAUAAUUUAUAAGUAUUAUCAAGAAAAAGAAAAAGAAAAUGCUUGUAAAAUAACAAAGAAUAAACAACAAUAUAAAAAUAGGUUAAAUAUUUCUUUAAAGUUAAUAAUUGAGAGAAGAAAAAAAGAAAAAGAGUUCUGGGAAAACUUAACGCAUAUUACAUCUAAUGAUAUGAUAGAAAUGUGGAAGACAUUCUCAGUUUUUGUGGAAAAGUAUUACUAUAUAUUAAAAGAUCGAGCAACUAUUGUCCAAAAUAUUUUUAAUGAAGAAAAAUUAAUCAUUGAAAAUAAAAACAAAAUUGAAAACAUGCGUGAAGCUUUAUCCAAGCUAUAAACAAGUAAAGAUUCAUAUAUUUUGUUUUUAAAGAUUUAAACCUUGUUUAGUGUAAUAAAAUAAAAAUGCAGAAGUCUGUAUUGAGAAAG